AUAUAAUUAGUAUAUUGUUUUUUCUAUUAUUUUUUAUAUUUUGUGAGAAAUAACUUAUUUAUUAGUAGAUUUUAUCGAACUUAUUAUUUUGAACAAUAGUUUAUAUUACUGUGAAGGAAAUUUUUUAAUUAUAAAGAAGCAGAUUUUUUUUAUCGUACCUUUUGUAUCAGGGUUUAUCAAUUAUAAAUUAGUGAUUACUAAUUUUCCCGAAAUUAAAAGAGAUAUAUUUAAAUGAAAGUUUACGUAUUAAAGUAAUUUUUAAUUUAUAUAUAGAGGUUAUAUGCUAUUCAAUUUUAAAUAUCUGGUUUUCUAAUAAUUUAAUUUAAUUAAGAUUAUUGUUAGUUAAUAUAUAAUUUUAUUUUAUUUAAUUACAAUAGUUAAGUUUAUAGGGGAUAAGCUCUAUAUAUUUUUUAUAACUCUUCGUUUUAGUUAAAAGUUUUGUAGGCCUAGCAACAGCCAUCAUUUAUUUCGUUACAGUUAAUCUUUAUUUUAUAUUUAUUUAUUAUUUGGGUUUAAUUUUUUAUUAGAAUUUUUUAUUUAAUUUUUUAUUAUAAGUAAUAAUGAUAGAAUUAGUAGUUUUGAAUAAUUAGAUACAGGAAUUCGGCAAAUCUUAUUUCCGCCUGUUUAACAAAAACAUGGCCUUUAGAUUUUUAAUUAUAGGUCUGACCUGCCCAGUGAUUUAUUUAAACGGCCGCAGUAUUUUGACUGUGCGAAGGUAGCAUAAUCAUUUGUCUUUUAAUUGAAGGCUUGUAUGAAUGGUUGGACGAGAAAUAAACUUUCUUUAUCUAAAUUCUUUGAAUUUUAUUUUUGAGUCAAAAAGCUUAAAUGUUUUUGCAAGACGAGAAGACCCUAUAGAAUUUUAUUAAAUUAUUUAUAUUUAUUGUUUGGUAAAUAGUUUGGUGAAUAUAAUGGAUUUAAUUUUGUUGGGGCGACAGUGAAAAUUAAUUAACUUUCAUUUUUUAAUAUUCAUUAAUUUAUGUAUUUUUUGAUCCUUUAUUAUGGAUUAUGAGAUUAAAUUACCUUAGGGAUAACAGCGUAAUUUUUUCGGAGAGUUCUUAUCGAUGAAUAAAGUUUGCGACCUCGAUGUUGGAUUAAAAAUAGUCUUGGGUGCAGCAGCUCAUUAUGACUAAGUCUGUUCGACUUUUAAAUUUUUACAUGAUCUGAGUUCAGACCGGCGUGAGCCAGGUUGGUUUCUAUCUGCAAUUCUAAGAUUAUACUUUAGUACGAAAGGACCGGGUAUAAGUAAUAAUUAUAUAUUUGUUGAUUAUUAUUA
rnacentral:rRNA from 1 species